GCCAUGAUGUCCAUAGUCCAUACAAAGAAUACUGCACUAGCUUCCUCUUAUAGCUAGCAGAUAGGUCUAGUUGAUGUUGCGUGAGGUGGUGCCAUGAAGCAUUACGCACAUCUUGUAAGAGGUCUCGCGCCCUGUAGCCCAAAGUUUCAUAGUGCAAUACCAGGCUGUGCUAUGACGCCAUUAUCUGUAAUAUAAUGGGGCGCCGUUUGUAAAAUGUCGCAAGUUCUAAAACCCUGCUCAGUUUUGGUACAUUUAGAAUUAUCAUAUGGGGAAAAAAGCACAACAAUAUUCAAAUGUCACUUUUUCAAACAUUUAGAGAGAUAUUCAUGUAAGGAUAAUGUUUGGCAGUAACACAAAGUUGUUGAAUAAUAUAAAUGUUUCAUCUAAAUGUAAAUGUUAAAUAUAAAUGUAAAUGUUAAAUGUAAAUGUUAAAUAUAAACGUAAAUGUUCAAUGUUAUAUAUAAAUGUUAAAUGUAAAUGUUAAAUGUAAAUGCUAAAUGUAAAUGUUAAAUGUAAAUAUUAAAUGUAAAUGUAAAUGUUAAAUGUAAAUGUAAAUGUUAAAUGUUCAGUCUACAGGUCAGAUUUGAAGACUGAACCUUACAAUAUUUACGGUAAUUGGCUUUCAUAGUUUUCAUGUCACGUCAGAAUUACCAGCUUGCGGGAAAGAAAUACACUCCACAGCUGUCUACCACUGGAAUUUAUACUGGAACUGACCAUCUUUCAUUCAAGAUUAUUUAAUAUAUCCGCUUUAAAAUUGUCUGACAUAGGUAGUAAAAUGCCAGACAGUUGGCUGUUCAAAUCGGCGAGGAGACAAGCCCGGCUGUUUCCAGCUGAUUAUACACGUCUUCUGGGUCAACUUUUCUCAGGCGGGCAGUAAAGUAGCCUCCUUUAUGGAGCCUGCAAUAAAAGCAUUAACCCUGUUUUGGUCGCCUCAUUCAUCAGAAUAACUACCUAAAACGGGAAUAGAUCAAGAAAUAAAGUCAAGAAACAAAGCAUCAACACGAUUAAAAUUGGAUUACCCGGUUUCUGCUCUGAGAUUGCGACAAGUACCUAAGCAAGUAGGCUAGGCUACUGUAUUUUGUCAUCCAACUGGUAAUACUACAAUGCCAGUAGAAAAUACUUGGGGAGAUAAUUUCAGUUGUCAUUCGCCAGACCAGGUGGUUGUACUUGUGUUAAUUAGGAAAUUGUGUAAAAUGAUAAAGAACAGUGUUGGGUAGGCUAAAGGUUGCUAGCUAACAGCAUGUAGCUCGCUAGCUGGUAGCUAGCUAUUAAAUGGCAAUCAUCUUUGCUCUGAUAAUGAAGAUGUUUAUUAGUUUUCACCUUCCAGACGACAUCGUUAUUAACCCAUCCCCUUCUGAAAAUUAAAUUACUAUCUGUGCUUUUGGUAGGCUUUCAGUUUUUGAGGUGUGUAGGGGGACGGAUUUUCUAUGAGAUAUAUGUAAAUAUCUCCAAACUGGAGCUCAUGCAGGGACUUCUACGACGUUACAGAAAUACAAAUAUCAGCGGGUGCAGUAAAGGGAUCACAGGUUCCCAAAAUGUAAUUUUUUUCUAGAUAUCUCUGUCUGGCUAUUGUGGUAUGAUCUGUGUUUGAUGGCGAUCGUAAUUGAGUAGGUUGCACUGCUCGACGAUGCCCACUGUUGGUCGACACAUUUUGUCCGCAAGGUAUCCCUGGUAGUGUUACUGAAAGCUAUGAAUUACCGUAAAUAUUCUAAUGUUCUGUUGUCAAGUUUGACAUGUAGACUGAACAUUUACAUUUAACAUUUACAUUUACAUUUAACAUUUACAUUUAACAUUUACAUUUAGCAUUUGAUAUUUACAUUUAACAUUUACAUUUAUAUUUAACUUUAACAUUUACAUUUUACAUUUAACAUUAACAUUUAGAUGAAAUAUUUAUAUUAUUUAACAACUUUGUGUUACUGCCAAAAAAUAUCCUUGGAAAAGUUAUUGCAUGAAUUUACAUGAAUUUCUCUCUAAAUGCUUGAAAAAGUGACAUUCGAAUAUUGUCGUGCUUUUUGUUCCAUAUGAAAAUGCUAAAUGUAGCAAAACUGAGCAGGAUUUUCGAACGUGCAACAUUUUACAAACGGCGCCCCAUAUAUUAUAAGUUAUUGUACUUUAAGAUGAGACGGUUGACAAGAUUAUUAAAAGGUUGAUCGUGUACUUAUAAAUCACAUCACUUACUUACUCCCUUAUAGGUCAUGCAUUGGCAAGUAUUACAUAUACAGAUGUAUGCAUUGCAUACACACACACACAUACACACACACACACGCACACACACACACACACACACACACAAAUAGAAUACAAUAUUAUCCAAUAGUGCCGUGUUGCUGUUAGUGUCUUGUAGCUAUUGCCAGUCGAAACAGAUUCAGAUUCGUUUUUUUUAUCCUGUUUUUCUGAAAAGCCAGAAAUACAAUGGCCCAGAAGAGGGAGACAUUGCGCCAUUGCUGAUCUGAAGUGUAGUCUCAUAAGCUGUGAUUCACUUCUGUCAGAAAUCGAGUCAGUAUCUCUGACAUCGCUAGAUGAUUCCUCCUUGGGUGUUUGCUAAUCUUUGUAUGAGUAUUAUCUCUAAUGUGGUCUCUAACCACUGUGUCACUGUAUAACAUUCUUGGGGUGUUUUCCCUUUCCCCCACAAUAAGGCCUUCAAGAGGACAAAGUCCCAAUUGUUGCCUUCUUUGUGUGCCUGUCUUGUUUUGGUGACAUUCUGUGGAGUCUUGCUUUCUUGUUGUUGUUCUUCUGUCUUUAGUAGCACUGGUAGUGUUAUAUAUCAAUCAUAGGGGACACUAUACUACCUGCUCUGUGCAUAACAAAUAUCACAUCUCUUCCUCAUAGACGAGACUCACAAAAUUGUCAUUCUGUCUCUGUGGAUGAGUGGAGAGAAGAUGGAUAAGUGUAUUUACACAGUAAACAUAACACGCAUGGGUUGUUGCACCCAUUACGUCUCAACACUAAAGGUCACCUAUUUAGCCCUUCUGUAAGAACAAGAGCAAUAAUCAUUCGGCUCUUUCAAUUCAUUGGGAAGGUCUAUAAAUAGAUCAUAUCAUUUUGCUGACCAGCAUGCAGUGAAGCGCUGUCAAGCUCACACUGAUGUCUUUUCUAUUCAAUCCAACCAUUAAAUCAGACAUCAGGCUAUGAGCAAGAGCUCAUGAUCGGCUGUGUUAGUCUACUUGAUAACUGUGAGGAGACAUUGUCACCAUCUAAGGAAAUGAUCGUGUCAGUAUCAGCUCAGUGUUCAUAUUUAGAUUUUUCUUAAUUGUUCUAUAUGUUGAUGUAAUUAUAUAACCAUAACUCCCUCUCACUCAUAUAGUGGUGGUACUGUAUGCUUGUGUGUGUGUUUCUCUCUCUCUGUGUGUGUGUGUGUGUGUGUGUGUGUGUGUGUGUGUGUGUGUGUGUGUUUGUGUGUGUGUCUGCACGACUGUUUGUGUGUGUAUGUGUGUGUAUGCUACUGUAGCUGACUUAACUUUUCCUCUAUCUGAUCUGGCAUGUAUUCCUUGUUAGCAUAACCUUGCUUUUCCGUACCGUUGGCUACACCGUGAACAUAUAUUUCAAACAAGGGGUGGGGGGUGGAGGUUUGACUGCUUGAGGGUAGACAAGUUCACUAAGGGUUCAAUGCAUAUUUUCUGUAUCAUAUUUAAAAAUAUCUAAUGUAUAAUCUCAAUGGUAUUCAUAUCAGUCUGUCUGCUGCUUUCUGAUCUCUCUCUCAUUCUCUCGCACUCUCUUUCUCACUCUAUCUCUCUCUCCCUCUCUCUUUCUGUCUGUCUCCCCUCUUCCUUCCCAUUCCUGCUGCUGUGAACUGAGGACUAUGAUGUGAGAUGUUUUUGAGGUCUGUGGGAUGGGCGCUGUGUUGCGUUUCUCUCAUAGUCUGCUUUGUGGAGACAUUCCCCAGUGGGGUAAUUUUACAGUAGCCACUGUUGAGGGGCAUUGCUGCACCGAGUGCAGCGUAAAAUUGAAAAAUCAGAAUGAUUUAUGGUCUCUGUAGUCUCUUCUCUACUAAGUCUUUUCCUGUGUUAUAAGCUGUGAGUCACUUUGUUAUUUGCUUCCCUUUCCACCUCUCAAGAAGACUACAUGUCCCAGUGAUGUGUAGACCAUUAGCCAAGUCAACAGAGACCAGUGAUAUCACUUAACCUUUGAACACUGGUGAUUUCAACUCACAAAUCACUUCCCUAUUCAUUGUCAUGGUUCCUAAGGACAGUAUAUAAACGCAUAUUCAACACUGAUAGCAAUUAUAUUAAGUAUGGAGCAUGCUAGACUCUCUAUUUUGUAGUGAUGCCACUUACCUCUUUGAUUGCAUUAAUAAUGUGCUGAAUUAUGUAGCACAUCUUUUGUUUACAUGCCAAGUUAUGGAAGAGGAUGUUUUUAAUGUCCUUUCUGUGCACACUGGAUCACACACAUCAUAAUAUUACCCGUGUUGUUUGAGCAGCUGUUUGCUUUUACACUGUCGGUUAAAUUCCUGUUCUUUGUUAUUGUUUUGUGGGAGAACAGCUUUUACUUUAUUUCCCCAAAAAUACAUCAGACCUCCUCUUUUGUGUCUAUAAAAUUAAGAAAGAUGAAGAGUUUAUUGCGUUUUA
ensembl:lncRNA